GCGUGGUUGGCGGAGUGGUCUAACGUGUACACACCUGAAAAGUGUAUUUUCCCGGGUUCGAAUCCCGGAUCGCGCA
rnacentral:tRNA from 1 species